rnacentral:tRNA from 1 species
GGGCCCGUAGCUCAGUGGUUUAGAGCGCUCGCCUCACACGCGAGAGGUCACAGGUUCGAAUCCCGUCGGGCC